rnacentral:rRNA from 1 species
UACGUAGGAGACGAGCGUUGUCCGGAAUUACUGGGCGUAAAGCGCGUGUAGGCGGGCGUGCAAGUCUGCUGUGAAAGCUCCUGGCUUAACCGGGAGUGGUCGGUGGAAACUGCACACCUGGAGGACGGUAGAGGUAGGUAGAAUUCCCGGUGUAGUGGUGAAAUGCGUAGAGAUCGGGAGGAACACCAGUGGCGAAGGCGGCCCCCUGGGCCGCGCCUGACGCUGAGACGCGAAAGCGCGGGGAGCGAACGGG